CCAGCAGCACAAAUAAAUAAAGAUGCUCCAGCAUGAAUGCUCAAUCAAGGUUGCUAAACCUAUAAUGAAUUUUAAUUCCCACACAAUUAUUUAGUUGCUAGAUUUCUAUGCCCACAAAAGUACUUAAAUAAAUUAAAUUAAAUCCUAUUAUUUAAAAAUCAAAUUUUGGGUGUUACAAGUUAUCCCUUGUUACUGUUGACGUUGGCGUUCAUUCAUAGAUGGAUUGUUAUUGCUGGGAGAGUGGGAGAUAGACGAUGAUGAUUCUGUGUGGAUUAGCCAGCUAUAGCUAUAUCUAUAUAUGUAAAGAUUAAAUAUUUGUCAUAUAUAUAUGUAUAUAUGGAAAUCGCCGUGUCGAGCUUGAUAUCUCUCUAGCAAGCUAGCUAUAGUUACCCCUCGAUUGUAUUGUCUCUUGUAUUUUAACUUAAAAGAGGAUAAGGUUCUUCAGAUAGAAGAGGGAAAUUAUAGAGUGGGCCGGUGCAUGCAUGUGCCCAUCCAGAUCGAGUCAACUCGAUCGACGUGUGUGCCGAUCGAUCAGCGGAGCAACGGUGCAUCAGUCUCAACAGCGACGCGACGGUGCUUCGUCAUCUCAUUCAGUCUGUAUCUGCAAUGCAACUGCUGUGCAGGCGCAAGUUGAAGUUGGACACGGCGGACGACAGGGCGCGGCGUCGGCUCGCCGAUCGAUCACUGCUGAUGGAUCGACGAGGACCACGGCACCACCGUACCCUACCACCAGAUCGGACCACCGGAGAAAGCCACGGUCUCGGUGCAUGUUUUAUAAAAAUGUCAUAUAUAUAUAUAUUAAAUAAGAUGUUACAUAAGUAAAAUUGCUGACUUGACAGAGUCAUUAAAUGAAGAAGAUUCAUAAAAUAAGAGAAGAAUUUUAUCCCUAUAAAACUCAUAUAGCUCAGCCAUAAAACUAAGACUGCGAGUUAAAGGAUGGCAGCUACCGGCAGGCAUGCAUGCAUUUCGUGCAAUCAUCCAGCGAUACGAGGUGUCCCUUGAGAGAGACAAUACAAAUUAAACCGCAUGCAUGGGCACACAGCAGGG
rnacentral:lncRNA from 1 species